rnacentral:rRNA from 1 species
UACAGAGGGGGCAAGCGUUAUUCGGAAUUAUUGGGCGUAAAGGGCGCGUAGGCGGCCUGGCAAGUGGAAGGUGAAAUCCCUCGGCUUAACCGAGGAACUGCCUCCCAAACUGCUUGGCUUGAGACCGGGAGAGGUGAGUGGAAUUCCCAGUGUAGCGGUGAAAUGCGUAGAUAUUGGGAGGAACACCAAUGGCGAAGGCAGCUCGCUGGGACGUGACUGACGCUGAGACGCGAAAGCGUGGGGAGCAAACAGG